ensembl:lncRNA uncharacterized LOC110070559
CCCAAAGAUUUUGCCAACAUCCCUGUGAACAGCCGAUGGACGAAAGGAGUUUCCUCGUGAGGUUGUUAUCGGACCCUGCCUCCAGCACCAAUUUGACAGGGGGACAAACUUCUCCUUUUUGAAAUCCUCCUUGCCAUCCUCUCCCCUCCUUGAAACCUCCCUGAAAAAAAGGGGGAAACUGUGUGAUGUCUUUUGAAGGGGUGCAGUAGGACAUUUCGAAACACCCUGAAUCAGUUACAGCAAGUCUGGACAAUCCCUAUUAGUUCUAGUUGGUUCAGCCAGGAACAGGAGAGGUUGGGCUUUGCUAUUCUGCAGACAUUGGGCGAUCGCAGGUUGUCAACUCCUGAUGUUAAAUCACCCAGCCAGAACUAAUUCACCACUUUGGUUUCUUUCUCUGUUCCAGCUUUGCUCUGCGCUGUGUUCCAACCAGCAGCAUCUUCAGGUCUGCAGACCCCCAAACUUACGAUCCAGCCCAACCACCCUGAGUAUUUUGAAGGGGAGAGGAUUGAGCUCAUUUGCUCAGCUUCCCAAAACAGGACGGUGGAAGGAUACAGGUUCUUCGAUCCAGAUGAGCGGAUGAUCCACAAAAUGGCCGCCAGCCCUUAUCAAAAGGGGAAGCUGCCUCUCACGCUUCAGAUGAACAGCACUGGGAAUUAUUUCUGUGAUUACUGGAUGGAAGAAAGUGGAGAAGCCACGUCAGGACCAAGCAACGCCACUUUCAUCCGUGUAAAUGUUUUUGUGUGUCCAAGCACACUUCUUCAGAUGAAGACCGAAAAAAGCACGUUAAAUGCAAGAUACAUAGAGGCCCCUGCUGCUCCCUCUCUCUCUGUGCAUCCCGAACUCCCUGCAUACAACUUGGGAGACUCCAUCACCCUUUCAUGUUCAGCCCCACUGGGAGCAAAGGAAGUCAAGCAAUUCCAAUAUUACAGUGACUUGAUGUGUGUAUCAGCCAUGGCACUGCAUGACAAUGUCUAUAGGUACAACUUGAGUAUCAUGGAGUCCACGGACAUGGGGGUCUUCAGAUGCGCCUAUCUGGUGCACCUUUCUGGGCGAAACGUACUUUCCAAGAAGAGUGAACCAGUCUCCAUUGAAGGGCUAGGAGUCAGAUGGAAAUGGAUGUUGGCUGUUGGGGGGUCCUUCUUCACCAUCAACACCCUUAUCUUCCUAAUCUCCCACUGCUUUUUUUAAACCACAGACCACUGCAACCUCCUCCAUUUCGAAGGGUUCCAGUCAGUGAAGGAGCCCUCUCUACUAGACUUGAAUCCCCAGUGUCUUCAGCAGAAAAAAAAAACUCAUACACGUUGCCUGAAAAAAGACAGGCACAUACUUGGAAAUAAGGCAGCUUGGACAUCUAAGAAAUGCAUAAGCUUCAGAGAAGAGCUUGGGGAAAAAUACUUUUGUAGACCACAGCUCCCACCCACCGUGGUGUCAAUUCUCCUUUCGCUUGUUGGAGGGUCUACCCAGGCCAUCAAUUCUUCCAGAGUUCACUAUGGCAGGUGGCCACCAAACAGAGGCAUGGAAAGCGACCACGAGGAACCACGUCUUUUCGAUGGUAGCCACGACACUUUGAAACAUGUCGAUACACACAGACUCCUUCCCUCUUGAUCUUCGGGAAGCAUGUUAAAGCCAAGCAUUUCCAGGAGGCCUUUGAGAACAUGCUCCUCUUAUGACAGACCACCUGGGGAUUUUUCUGUUAAUAUUAUGUUGUUUUUAGGCAUCGUGGAUAGCUGGAGGUUUUCGUCCGCUGUAAACUGACCAGAAUGAUGGCUUGCCACUAGAUGGGUGACAUAUUUACUUAUAACAGAGAAAGAAGCAAAGAAUUCAGGCAGCACUAUGGAGUACAAAAUGGUUCUAACCUGGUUCUUAACAUAUGAAGCAGUCAAGGAGCUGAGCCUGGAAAAAUCUGUUGUGGUUGUUCCCACAUGUGAAUUUGGGGUGGGGGUGGGGGACUGUAAUGUUCUUUCCAUCCUAUGUAUGAAGAAAUCUGAGAACUUUACUUAUUUUUUAAAAACUGGAAUAGAAUUCUCACGCUUUCCCUAAAUUUCAUCUUGUCGAUAUUUCUCCUUCUUUCCAAAUUUUCUAUAGCCACCCCAUCGGAUCGCUCAGUGGACCAUCCAAAAUGACCCCAAUUUUGACAAAAAGGCUGCAUCUUGGUUUCUCACAGGUCCCUAUUUUUUAUUUUUUUAUUUUUAUUUUAUUUUUUGCUGCUGCUGUUGUUAGAGUUGCUUUUAGAUCUCUUCUUCGGAUGACCAAUACCUCUUUGGUAUUCACUUUGCCAGCUUAUUUCCGGUGAGACAAGAACCGCUUGAAAGAAUUCAUGGAAAAACCUGCACAGAUAUUGCCUUUACCAAUAAACUACCCAACAAGAAUAGAAAAUAAAUUAUU